AGAUCGGCCUUUUGGCUAAGAUCAAACUUAGUAUCUGUUUUUUAUCAGUUUGAAAUCUGAUAUGCGAUAUUAAAUUAAUUUUUUUCACGGGGGGAGUUCCCAUCAUUUUUUUCACGGGGAGUUCCCAUCACUACAGAUUGCUAGGGUUCUCACGCGUCGCCUCUGUGUUGCACUACUGCAAAGUCCUGGCGCAAACUUG